GACGAACCGUGCGAACGUUAUUCGGAAUUACUGGGCUUAAAGCGCGUGUAGGCGGAUGGGGACGUCGGUCGCUGAAAGCCCCCGGCUCAACCGGGGAACGGGCGCCGAAACGCCCCGUCUGGAGGGACGUAGGGGGACCUGGAACUUCCGGUGGAGCGGUGAAAUGCGUUGAGAUCGGAAGGAACGCCGGUGGCGAAAGCGGGCCGCUGGACCUCUACUGACGCUGAUGCGCGAAAGCCAGGGGAGCGAACGGG
rnacentral:rRNA from 1 species